rnacentral:rRNA from 1 species
GACGAACGCUGGCGGCGUGCUUAACACAUGCAAGUCGAACGGAAAGGCCCUGCUUUUGUGGGGUGCUCGAGUGGCGAACGGGUGAGUAACACGUGAGUAACCUGCCCUUGACUUUGGGAUAACUUCAGGAAACUGGGGCUAAUACCGGAUAGGAGCUCCUGCUGCAUGGUGGGGGCUGGAAAGUUUCGGCGGUUGGGGAUGGACUCGCGGCUUAUCAGCUUGUUGGUGGGGUAGUGGCUUACCAAGGCUUUGACGGGUAGCCGGCCUGAGAGGGUGACCGGCCACAUUGGGACUGAGAUACGGCCCAGACUCCUACGGGAGGCAGCAGUGGGGAAUAUUGCACAAUGGGCGGAAGCCUGAUGCAGCAACGCCGCGUGCGGGAUGACGGCCUUCGGGUUGUAAACCGCUUUCGCCUGUGACGAUGCGUGAGUGACGGUAAUGGGUAAAGAAGCACCGGCUAACUACGUG